rnacentral:rRNA from 1 species
UCCCAGACUCCUACGGGAGGCAGCAGUGAGGAAUAUUGGUCAAUGGGCUUACGCCUGAACCAGCCAAGUCGCGUGAGGGAAGACUGCCCUAUGGGUUGUAAACCUCUUUUGUCAGGGAGCAACGCCGGCUACGUGUAGCCGGACUGAGAGUACCUGAAGAAAAAGCAUCGGCUAACUCCGUGCCAGCAGCCGCGGUAAUACGGAGGAUGCGAGCGUUAUCCGGAUUUAUUGGGUUUAAAGGGUGCGUAGGCGGAAUGCCAAGUCAGCGGUAAAAUCGCGGGGCUCAACCCCGCCCAGCCGUCGGAACUGCCGGGCUAGAGUGGGCGAGAAGUGCGCGGAAUGCGUGGUGUAGCGGUGAAAUGCAUAGAUAUCACGCAGAACUCCGAUUGCGAAGGCAGCGUACCGGCGCCCAACUGACGCUGAAGCACGAAGGCGUGGGUAUCGAACAGGAUUAGAUACCCCAGUA